AGUACGGCGAGUGAGCGGUAAAAGCUCAAAUUUGAAAUCUGGUACUUUCAGUGCCCGAGUUGUAAUUUGUAGAAUUUGUCUUUGAUUAGGUCCUUGUCUAUGUUCCUUGGAACAGGACGUCAUAGAGGGUGAGAAUCCCGUUUGGCGAGGAUACCUUUUCUCUGUAAGACUUUUUCGAAGAGUCGAGUUGUUUGGGAAUGCAGCUCAAAGUGGGUGGUAAAUUCCAUCUAAAGCUAAAUAUUGGCGAGAGACCGAUAGCGAACAAGUACAGUGAUGGAAAGAUGAAAAGAACUUUGAAAAGAGAGUGAAAAAGUACGUGAAAUUGUUGAAAGGGAAGGGCAUUUGAUCAGACAUGGUGUUUUUUGCAUGCACUCGCCUCUCGUGGGCUUGGGCCUCUCAAAAAUUUCACUGGGCCAACAUCAAUUCUGGCAGCAGGAUAAAUCAUUAAGAAUGUAGCUACUUCGGUAGUGUUAUAGCUUUUUGGAAUACUGUUAGCCGGGAUUGAGGACUGCGCUUCGGCAAGGAUGUUGGCAUAAUGGUUAAAUGCCGCCCGUCUU
rnacentral:rRNA from 1 species